UACGUAGGGUGCGAGCGUUAAUCGGAAUUACUGGGCGUAAAGCGUGCGCAGGCGGUUCUGAAAGUCAGCUGUGAAAGCCCCGGGCUUAACCUGGGAAUGGCGGUUGAAACUACAGGACUAGAAUCUGGCAGAGGGGGGUGGAAUUCCACGUGUAGCAGUGAAAUGCGUAGAGAUGUGGAGGAACACCCAUGGCGAAGGCAGCAAACUGGCCGGCAUCUGACGCUGAGGCGCGAAAGCGUGGGUAGCAAACAGG
rnacentral:rRNA from 1 species